GAUGAACGCUAGCUACAGGCUUAACACAUGCAAGUCGAGGGACCGGCGCACGGGUGAGUAACACGUAUCCAACCUGCCCUUUACUCGGUGAUAGCCUUUCGAAAGAAAGAUUAAUACCCGAUAUAAAGGAUGGGGAUGCGUUCCAUUAGUUUGUUGGUGAGGUAACGGCUCACCAAGCCUUCGAUGGAUAGGGGUUCUGAGAGGAAGGUCCCCCGGAAUGGAGCUGAGACACGGUCCAAAAUCGUACGGGAGGCAGCAGUUAGGAAUAUUGGGCAAUGGGCGCUAGCCUGAACCAGCCAAGUAGCGUGAAGGAUGAAGGGUUAUGGGUCUUAAACUUCUGUUAUAGAAGAAUAUGUAUUAUAUGAAUAAGGAUCGGCUAACUCCGUGCCAGCCGCCGCGGUAAUUC
rnacentral:rRNA from 1 species